rnacentral:lncRNA from 1 species
AGUGUGAGGGAGUUCCUUAUGAGAGGACAGCCACGUGAAGACGCACAAACAGAGGGAGAAUGCUGUGUGAAGAUGUAGGCAGAAAUUGGAGUAAUUCAUUAACAAGCCAAGGAACACCAAGGAUGGAGAGAGGCAUGGAAGUGAUUUUCUCUUGGAGGACUCAGGAGGAACCAACCCUGACAACACCUUGAUUUCAGACUUCUAACCUCUAGAAAUAUUCAACAAAGACAACCAGACGGCUCUGUGUGGUGUUUGGAGAGCAGUCCCUGUUGAAGCUCUUCUGCAGGGAAGCAGAUUCCAAGCCAACCUGAGAAAGAGCUUUCUCAAACAAUUGGAGCUGUGCAACAACAGAACUGGUUUUCCCAGGAGAGGGAGAGGAAAAGCCCAAAGAGUUGGACCUGGAAGAAGGGUAACAACGUGAUGACAUUGUUACUUUCUGCCAGUGAGUCAUCCCUUCUUCUCAGUGCCUCUGGCCAAGGAGGUUCCAAUCAAAUGCCCUUCCAAGCUUGUGAUUUCCUCUACCCCAUCAGCCACAGGGCACACCGCAGGGUAAUGUGUGAUGCUGCUCUGCCCUGCAGACUAGACCUUCUGGUUUCACAAUUCCACAGCCCCAUGCACAGAGGAG